rnacentral:lncRNA from 1 species
ACCGGCUGACGAAGGAAUGGGUCUGCCGAGAACCGAUUUCAUCUGGCGAGCGCCUCGCACUGACGCUGCGAUACCUGUCGUCCGGUAUGCUCGUGCGAGAUGCAGCAAUGGCCUUCAGAGUGGGGCUGGAGACUGCACGCAAGGCGAUCCACCUGACGUGCAAUGUGCUAUGGGAGGUGCUGUCCCCUGUGUACAUGAAGCCUCCAACAGAGGGAGAAUGGAGG